rnacentral:rRNA from 1 species
UACGUAGGGUGCAAGCGUUGUCCGGAAUUAUUGGGCGUAAAGAGCUCGUAGGCGGUCUGUCGCGUCGGACGUGAAAAUCCAGGGCUCAACCCUGGACCUGCGUUCGACACGGGCAGACUAGAGUUCGGUAGGGGAGACUGGAAUUCCUGGUGUAGCGGUGAAAUGCGCAGAUAUCAGGAGGAACACCGGUGGCGAAGGCGGGUCUCUGGGCCGAAACUGACGCUGAGGAGCGAAAGCGUGGGGAGCAAACAGG